UACGUAGGAUCCGAGCAUUAUCCGGAGUGACUGGGUGUAAAGAGUUGCGUAGGUGGCAUAGUAAGUAGACAGUGAAAUCUGGUGGCUCAACCAUUCAGACUAUUAUCUAAACUGCUAAGCUCGAGACUGUUAUGGGUAACUGGAAUUUCUAGUGUAGGCGUGAAAUCCGUAGAUAUUAGAAAGAACACCGAUAGCGUAGGCAGGUUACUGGGACAGUUCUGACACUAAGGCACGAAAGCGUAGGGAGCAA
rnacentral:rRNA from 1 species